rnacentral:rRNA from 1 species
GCGGGGCUACCCGCUGAGUUUAAGCAUAUCA